rnacentral:lncRNA from 1 species
CUUUGGCCUGCAGCAUCACCUCCCAGAGCUAUGUGUUAGAUCCAUCUCAGGUCUGUGGAUUUGGCAAUAGUACUCCACAUAGGCAGAUGAGAAGACAACCCCUUAUCUGAAAUGGCUCACCACUGUUGUUCUACAGACUGGGUCUGAAUGCCUAUUCUGAUGUCACCCACUGUGCGUUGCUGCUGGGAGUCAAAACACUGGACCGGGCUCAGGGCUGCUCACUUGUUGGCAUGAAAGAUUGUUUUCCUUAACAAGUGUUUCAAAGUCCAGAGCUGAACUCAGGAGAUGUGGCUAUUUGGUUCAUUCUGAAGAGUGAAAUGGAUGACUGUUGCAGGCUGGCUGAGUCUGUGUGCCUCAUCACUGCCCAAUGAGAGAAGCACAGAAUUGCG